CCUACGGGAGGCUGCAGUGGGGAAUAUUGGACAAUGGGGGUAACCCUGAUCCAGCCAUGCCGCGUGUGUGAAGAAGGCCCUCGGGUUGUAAAGCACUUUCAGUGAGGAAGAACGCCUGGUGGUUAAUACCCAUCAGGAAAGACAUCACUCACAGAAGAAGCACCGGCUAACUCCGUGCCAGCAGCCGCGGUAAUACGGAGGGUGCGAGCGUUAAUCGGAAUUACUGGGCGUAAAGCGCGCGUAGGUGGCUUGAUAAGCCGGUUGUGAAAGCCCCGGGCUCAACCUGGGAACGGCAUCCGGAACUGUCAAGCUAGAGUGCAGGAGAGGAAGGUAGAAUUCCCGGUGUAGCGGUGAAAUGCGUAGAGAUCGGGAGGAAUACCAGUGGCGAAGGCGGCCUUCUGGACUGACACUGACACUGAGGUGCGAAAGCGUGGGUAGCAAACAGGAUUAGAUACCCUUGUAGUC
rnacentral:rRNA from 1 species